rnacentral:rRNA from 1 species
CCUACGGGUGGCAGCAGUGAGGAAUAUUGGUCAAUGGCCGGAAGGCUGAACCAGCCAAGCCGCGUGAGGGAGGAAGGCGCAGAGCGUCGUAGACCUCUUUUGCCGGGGGACAAAAGGCCGGACUCGUCCGGUUCUGAGGGUACCCGGAGAAAAAGCAUCGGCUAACUCCGUGCCAGCAGCCGCGGUAAUACUGAGGAUGCGAGCGUUAUCCGGGUUCAUUGGGUUUAAAGGGUGCGCUGGCGGGCCUUUAAGCCGGCGGUGAAAUGGCGGGGCUCAACCCCGCCGAGCCGUGGGAACUGGGGGCCUUGAGUGCGGGGGAGGCAUGCGGAAUGCGGGGUGUAGCGGUGAAAUGCAUAGAUAUCGCGCAGAACCCCGAUUGCGAAGGCAGCGUGCCGUGCCGCCACUGACGCUGAGGCACGAAAGCGCGGGGAUCGAACAGGAUUAGAUACCCCAGUAGUC